rnacentral:rRNA from 1 species
CAGCAGCCGCGGUAAUACGAAGGGGGCUAGCGUUGCUCGGAAUUACUGGGCGUAAAGGGCGCGUAGGCGGAUCGUUUAGUUAGAGGUGAAAGCCCAGGGCUCAACCCUGGAAUUGCCUUUAAUACUGGCGGUCUUGAGUAUGGCAGAGGUGUGUGGAACUCCGAGUGUAGAGGUGAAAUUCGUAGAUAUUCGGAAGAACACCAGUGGCGAAGGCGACACACUGGGCCAUUACUGACGCUGAGGCGCGAAAGCGUGGGGAGCAAACAGGAUUAGAUACCCGCGUAGUCCCUGUCUCUUAUAC